rnacentral:misc_RNA from 1 species
GACCGCCAAGGCCGACAACUCCCAAAUGCUUUCCCGGCUCAUUGAGUCCGAAAUACUUCAUGGGGCUGUAGACUGUGGUCCCAGCACAAAGUAGUGGGGCAGCCUUGUCCAGAGGCAAGUCCUCUGGGAUGUUGACAGCAUAGUUCUGACCAACCACUAUGGAAUCGGCAAAUCCUCCAUAGGUCGUUGUGCCAUCGUGAUCUAUACCAUUGCUCGUAGGAACAAUCUUGGGACAGUAGUUUUCGAGGUCUUGCUUGCAGUUGUCACAAGCACUGCAAGAGUUCACCAUGUAACCAACACCAAUCUUGUCUCCAGUUUUGAACUUGGUUACUUUUUCUCCCACUUCGGUCACAAUGCCUACAAUCUCAUGCCCAGGAACAACAGGGUACAUGGCGUUUGCCCACUCAUUCUUGAUAAUGUGAAGAUCAGUGUGGCAUAUCCCGCAGUACAGUAUCUUUAAAGUGACAUCAUUGUCUCGAUUAGCCCUCCUGGUGAAGGAAAUAGGUGAGAGGACUCCGGACGAGUCUCUUGCUGCCCA